rnacentral:lncRNA from 1 species
UCUCACAUGAGGUCCCGGCGAGAAGGACCUGCUUCCAUCAGAUUCACACUUGGGAGAGGGGCCCGGCCUCCAGGAGCGCCAGGCAGAAAGGGCACCCAUUAGGAAGAAGAACACAGAGGCCAUGGGAGUGAAAAGUUUGAUGCUGGAAAGCAACAGUAGCACAUUCUGCUACAGAGCGGAAUGAAAAACCCUGGGGAGCAAAUUCCUGAGCCAGAGAAUGGAGCGGAGGAACCAGCCAAGGAGGAUAAAGAGACUUAGCCUAGAAAAUAAUGAAGAAGGACAGAAAGAGAAUACCAUUCUACUACACCCGCUGAUGACUUAAAACCUGCGUGCUCUGAGGCUGCCCGACCCUGAGCUCCAGAACAGACCAUCGAGUUCAGGAGACAAGCAUGUCAGCCAUGACACAAGGCAGAUGAGAGGGACCCCCAGCGUCCACACGUGGAGGCAGCGGGGGCAGCCGGUGAGCAUAGAUGGGGAAGGAGAUUCAGAGCCUGAGGGCUGCUCUCCUGCCCUCCCAUCCUGGACACUGGCCUGGGCCCCCCAGCUUCCCUUCGCCCAGCUUCCACCCCCAUAACACACAACCCCAGAGCUUGGGAAGGAGGUCUCUCUGUGACAGGUGGGAUUCUGGAAGUUUCCACGGAGGAGACCCCAUAGGAGCAGGGUUUGAAGGUCAAGAAAGAUGCUAAGGAUGGAGAGGGCCAGUGGGGAGAGGGUGGUUCCAGGCUCACUUCACAGAGGUGCUUGGGGAGCUGCAAUAUUUUGGCAGCACCAAGGGAAGAGUCAGGUCAGUGAGGUUCAUAAGGGAUGAGAAAGGAGUCUAACCAGCCCUGGAGACCCCUGGGGUCUGGCCCCACAGGGAGAUGUCCAAGUGGCAGAAAGUCCCUUCCUGCCUGGAGAGCACCCCCACGAGGACCCUGGGGCCACCCGGGAACCGCUGCUCCCUCCCAGUCACUCACCACACUUCCCUCUCCCGCCCACCCUCCAACCUGCCUGCAAAUUCCCCUGCAACCCAACUCUGGUCUCCUCCCAACCCUGCCCCCACGUAGGCCUUUUUUUUUCUUUUUCACUUCUUCCCCCCAGUGACUUCCUUCUGCAGUGUUGAUUCAGCUCCCUUUGAAGGCGGGUGAGACCUUUUGCAGGCUGGGGGCAGGGGCGGGGGCGGAGAAGAGGGCUGCAGGCAGGGCUGGCAGAGGGGAGGAGGUGACACACACUCCCUGGAGGCGAGUGGGGAGGGCUCGGGGCAGGAAAUGGAGUUGGGUGCCCCAGGUGGGGUGCUCCAACGAGCUCUUUCUCAUGGGAUCCCCCACAGAUCCAUACAAACAGGCUGACCAUCAGGGCUGGUCCCAGGCCACCAGGCUGGGUGCAAUGCAGAAAUGGAGAUCUGCCCCGGGGAAGGCAGGUGAGUGUAGGAAGGAGGGAGGGCUGCGAGAAGCUGGGGGCAGCCUCCAUCCCCCUGUGGCCUGGGUGGGCCUGUGCCCCCCCAACCCCCCGACGCAGCUUCCCACACUGGGAGCACAGUUCCUCCCUCCUCUGCCUUCCUCUGCGUGGUGUGGCUCCUCCUUGAGGGAGAGAGCUGAGGAGGUGGCAUUCUUGCUUCCCUGACUCACCCAAAGGAAGAUUUCACAGCCCCUGGCAAGGGCUGCCAGACAGGCUCACCUGUCACCCCCUGUCCAGGGACAGACUGACCGGUAGCCUUGGCUGGGUGGGGAGUUAUGCUGGGAAGUCUUCCAGGCCCCCUGGGGGUGGGAAGAUGCUCAAUGUUCAAAGGAGAUGGAACGAGGAAAACAGUUAAGCAACGAUGGACUCCAGGGGGAAAACCGGAGAAGAAGAAACUGUAAUUCCAGUCCGUCCACAUGGCCCAGCAGUGAACGACAAUUGCAUGGUCAGAGAGAGCAAAAGCACCACGCCGACUGAAAGCAGCUCGAAUGUGGUGGGGCAGUGGGAGAUAAUGCCCUCAUCUACCAAAACAAGAUCUGCCACCUUCGCAGACCACUAAACCUCAUUCCUCCACCCACCUCCCCACCCCCAUGAAGGCCAACUGACCAGAGAGCA